rnacentral:rRNA from 1 species
UAACACGUGAGCAACCUGCCUCUCAGAGGGGGAUAACGUUUGGAAACGAACGCUAAUACCGCAUGAAAUAUUGGCAUCGCAUGGUGCUGAUAUCAAAGGAGCAAUCCGCUGAGAGAUGGGCUCGCGUCCGAUUAGAUAGUUGGCGGGGUAACGGCCCACCAAGUCGACGAUCGGUAGCCGGACUGAGAGGUUGAACGGCCACAUUGGGACUGAGACACGGCCCAGACUCCUACGGGAGGCAGCAG